AAAUAUUUUUUUUUACUUCACUUUUUCAUAUUUUCUAAAAAAAACUGAAGGAGCCUCAGUUUUUCUCUCAACACCCUCCCUUCUCAAAUGGCCGACGGUCUCUCAAGACCUCCGUCGCACCACCAAAGUGGCCGGCGACCGGCGCCGAAGAAUGGGCCCGUUAGCCCCUGCUCCAUGGCAUCCUUGAGAGCCAAAGCUCCCUCAACCCAUGGGAGUCGAAAACAAGGGAAGUUCUCAGCCUCUUGGACCCGAUUCGGGCGAUGGAUGAGAGACCCUCCGACGGCGCAACCAUGGCCACUUCCGGUGGUCUGACACGCGUGGAGGGCCAACGGCGGCAGUGUCAGAGGCGUGCGCUGAAGGUGCCUGGUGGCUGGGGGUGGCAGACGAGGAAGCUACCCGAGGCAUGCGGCUCCUAGGGUUUCUUUUACUCGUUUCUGCUGAAAAUGUUAAUGUUGUUUGGGCUAGGUUUUUAAUUUUUGGGCCCAUUUGUGAUUGGGUUAUUAUUUUUACUAGGCCAGCAAAUUUGGGCUUCUACACUAAUCUAAUCGAGUCACGGACUAGUAGUGUAAAGACUAAUUUAAGAUGAUAAUAAAACUAAUGAAAUUAAACUAAAUCUAAAAUAAACUAUUGGAACUUCCUAUUCCUAGUUUUAACGAUGCAAGCUACUUAGCCUAGAAUCGAUCGAAUUACUAAUUGUCAACUAAGCCACUAAUUACCCUUAAUUGAGUGAUUUACCACUCUUAAUUAAGAAUAACCUUUCGAUCUCAUAUUUACUAAGAGUUACUACCUAAGAUAUCCUUUUGGUAUCACCUAGGCAUACGGAUACCCUUUUAGUCUCACUGUUUAGCACAAGUUCACUAAAUGCAUACUCAACAGGAUACUCUUUUGGUCGCACCCAUUUAGAUAUUCUACUAGGGUAGUCAAUCCUAGUAUACUAAGUUAUUUAGGAAACUUGAGCAAAUACCUAAUUUUAGAUAAUUAUUUACUUAAUUGAUUAUCUAGUUAAGUAGUUGGUUCAUGCGAGAUAAGUAUAAAGUGCAAGUUUAUUCUACUAUUUAUACAAACAAUCAAUUAAAUUGAAUUAACGACAAAGAUAUAACUAAAUAAAAUAAAGAAGAGAGUGCUUAUAGAUUUAAUCAAUGUAACAACACGCGUCUAGAACAAUCUCCGCUUGCAAUCAUCUAACUUCAGAAUAGAAGAAUUCUACUUAAGAAAACAUAAAAGAAAACUAAACUAAAGAAUAACGAAAAAGUGAAAACGAAAGUAUCAAAAUCUGAUCAAGUUUGAAUUACCCAUUAAUUCUGAUUACACGGUCAGUUAUAUAAGCUAAAAUCAAAGUACUAAGAUGCCUCUCUAAUUAAUACAACAAUUAGGACUUCAAACCCGAACAAGACCCUAAACUACCCCUCGAAAAUGCAGUUGUUGUGUUUGUGGAAUUGUCAUAACGUGGAGCACCUUGCUCGUCGCGACAUCCCUUACAGUUUGUAGCCUUCCAUCGCUUUGAUCUUCGAUGUCGCGACUUUCGUAGCUCGAUGUCGCGACAUUCAAUCAAGUUUUGUCCUCGAUGCUAUUUUCAAGUCAGUCUUUGAUGUCACAACUUUCAUACUUCGUUGUUGCGACUUUGGCAACAAUUUCAGCCCGAAGUUGCAUCUUUAGCUCCCAAAUCACCCUACAUAACCACAUAACCUUACUUAAGUAUCAAAACGUCAUAAAAACUAUUAAAAAGCAUAAAUUAUUACUUCAACUGUAAAAACAUAAAUUAAUACUAAAAUGAUUUGAUUUAGCUAUUAAACAAGCUUAAAUUUCGUGAAAAAGGGAUAUAACUAAUAGUGUAAAUCACAACAGAUCAAUAUACAUAGGUGAAACAAUAGAGUAAGUAGGUGUUUAGCUGCACUUAUACUUGUCAAAUUUGGUGUUUUGAAUGGGUAAAUAUGAGAUAUUACAUAGUUUAAGAGUUUCGCUUAAUGUUUGGACUAAUUUUGAACAAAUUUGGUAUAGUUUAGAAGUGUUUGAAAGCAAAAAUUUCAGGUCCUCUGUCUUAGGUCUCGAGACAUGCAAAAUGUGUCUUGAGACAUAAAAACUUCGAAGCUAAAAAUCGAUAGAAACAAUGUCAUUUCUCGAGACAUAUUGAACUGUCUCAAGACAAUAGCUCUUUUGCGCAAGACCUAUACUCAUUUAGCUCGAAAUAGGAAACUUUGAAACUAAAUUUCUACAGUGCUAUGAUAAUGUCUUGAGACAUUUAGGCCUUGGUUUAAAGACAUUAAUUGGAUUAAAAGAGACUGAAAAACCUUUUAUAAGCAAUUAAACUUUAUUAAUAGUUUAAUUAUUCCCUUUAAAGUGUAAUGAGAACUUGGAAUCAUUAAUAAAAGUCAAAUUUAUAAGUAUUUGGGAUUGUAAAUGAGUGUUUAGUGUAAAAUGUAACAUUCAUAUUCGAGUUUACUCGUGUAAGGGUGUUACAAAGACACAAACUGACAUGAAGCACUUGGACCAAAAGUUGGAUGGUCGUUUUGAUCAGUUACAAGCCAAUCUGAAGUUUCUUAUGUAGAUGAUGAGCCAAAAAGGCCUACUAGAUUCUUCACCACAAUCUAGUUCAAUUGCAGGGGAUCGGGGCAAGGCCUCUUUGCUACCCAUUAAACCCUUGCACUCGGGUAGUUGGGAAUCGGGAGCAACCAGAUCCUAUCGAUGAGACUGUCUUCGGUUUAAUGGGAAUAAUUUUAAGAAUUGGUAUUUGAAGCUAGAACAUUAUUUUGCAGUAGGAAAUGUUUCUGACCAUAGCGAAUUUUGUGUCAUUAUGCUGCAUUUGGAAGGUCGGGCUUUACAGUGGCAUUAUCACUAUGCCAAGAUCCAAGGAGAGAUUAAGAAAUUAUCCUGGGAUUGUUAUUUGGAAGCAUUGUAGGCUCAAUUUGCACUUAUGGAGUUUGAGGACCCCAUGGCAGAGUUGGAGAGCUUGAAGCAGACUGCAACAAUGGACCAAUACAAUGGAGACUUCUUAGACAAGAUCAGUGGUUAAUGCUAUGAAUUCAUCACUUAAUUUGACUGCAAUAGAUGAGAGGUUUCCAUUUGAUGAACUUCUAAAAUGGAAACAUCCUGGUCUAGGAAACAAAGAUGUCAGUGAUACAAAGGAUGAUGAUGAAGAUAAAGAGGAUGAUAAUGCAGAUGAAAAAGAUGAUGAUGGAGCUGAUGAGGAUUUCUCAGGUGAGGAAGGGGAUCCAGAGGAUGACCCUGAAGCCAAUGGGGAUGGAGGGAGUGGAGAAGAGGAGGAUGACAAUGAGAGGGGAUGUUGAGGAUGAAGAGGAGGACGAAGAAGAGGAAGAUGAAGAGGUUAAUGAGCCACCUUCUAAGAAGAGGAAAUGAACCUAAUCACACGCCAUUAGAUAGGGAGGAUUCAAGUUGUUUGUGAUUUGCAUAGAGUAGGAGAGUUGCCAUCCUUUGUUCCGAAUGAACCUAAAUUCUUGCAUCUGUCAUGUUCUUACGUACAAAUGUCAUAGGUGGUUGGCCUGAAGGACUAAAAGCUAGCUGUAAGCAAUGCUCUUUAACCAUUCGUAUUUGAUAGGUGAUGUACAUUAAUUUUUGUUGGCUAAUAUUCCACCCAUACAUAGGUCAUUUGGAAAUUCUAA